UACACUCCUACGGGAGGCAGCAGUGGGGAAUAUUGGCCAAUGGGCGCAAGCCUGAUCCAGCCAUGCCGCGUGAGUGAUGAAGGCCCUAGGGUUGUAAAGCUCUUUCACCGGUGAAGAUAAUGACGGUAACCGGAGAAGAAGCCCCGGCUAACUUCGUGCCAGCAGCCGCGGUAAUACGAAGGGGGCUAGCGUUGUUCGGAUUUACUGGGCGUAAAGCGCACGUAGGCGGACUAUUAAGUCAGGGGUGAAAUCCCGGGGCUCAACCCCGGAACUGCCUUUGAUACUGGUAGUCUUGAGUUCGAGAGAGGUGAGUGGAAUUCCGAGUGUAGAGGUGAAAUUCGUAGAUAUUCGGAGGAACACCAGUGGCGAAGGCGGCUCACUGGCUCGAUACUGACGCUGAGGUGCGAAAGCGUGGGGAGCAAACAGGAUUAGAUACCCCUGUAGUCCCAUGA
rnacentral:rRNA from 1 species